GUAAAAACACGACGGUUGGUGUGUGACACGUGGUGAAAGAUAACGACAUGAGUCAUGAAAAUUGGAGAUUUUGUAACACAACACGUUAGUUGGUACGUCACUAUGGUUGUGUGACACAUGUAAGACCAUGCAUCGGUGUAGAAUAGAUGAAUUGAAAUGAGAAAAGAAAACAUUGAAGAGAAGAGGAAUCUACUACUUUGCAAUAUCUUCUUUUUAUUUGAAUGUGUUGUGUAUUCUGUCACCAAAUCUGAUUCGGUGAAGAACGGUUCUCAUUGCAUUUGAUCAACAUCGAAUGUUAAUUAUCACCUUAUUAAUUAAGAAAAGGUAUAUUUCAAAGUUCAACAAAAAUUACAAAGGAGUCGUUAUCAUUAUCAAACUAGGGAGUGCGAUGAGGUCACGAGACCGUAUACCAACUGUACGUACGGACAUACUAGUGUUAUUCAUGAUCAAUACAAGAGGGAAUAUGUUCAACAAAGUUAUGAAAUAUGGAUGCGUCCAAAACAUAUUAUUUCUCACAACGUUGGAGUCUUUAUGAGUUCUACUCCAACAAACAUACUUUUCAGCUUCAAGUAACUUCAACAGAUGUUGCAUAUUAGUUAUGUGUCUUUUCAAAUUAUUCAUGUAUGUGGUUCGUUGCUUAUAAAUUUGAGAGAUAUUAUUCAUAUUCUCCUUAU